rnacentral:lncRNA from 1 species
UUAAAAUCUGUUUAGGAUUUGGAUAAUUCAAAUUCAAAUCCGAAUUCCAAGAAGAUUAACGAACCCAAAUGUGACCCGAAUUCGAGUCAGAUAUUAAAAUCUCAAUCCAUGUCCAAUAAUUUGUAGAUUUGGAGUUGGAUCGAAUCAGAUAAUAUCUGGUCAUCUUUCAUCCUAGGAUUUUAUUUAUCUAUUUAUAUAUGUAUUUUUUAAUUUUUAUGGGGUUAAAAUGUGGGUUAAAGGGCAUAAGACUUAUUUAAACUACAAUCUAUUUGUGCUGCCUAAUAUUUCAAUUCAUUUGAUUUAGAUUAUUGAAUUAUUUAUCCUGUUUAGGGUUUGGGUGUGCCUAGCUAACAACCUUGAUUAGAAUGUCUCACCUAAUUAAUUAAGUUUGCAAUUAAUUUAACAACCUUGAUAGGAAUAUCUGAUCACCUGAGUAAAUUCACAUGACUCGAUCACGUUUUAACAAGCUUUAAAUUUUAA